rnacentral:rRNA from 1 species
UACGGAGGGUGCAAGCGUUAAUCGGAAUUACUGGGCGUAAAGCGCACGCAGGCGGUUUGUUAAGUCGGAUGUGAAAUCCCCGGGCUCAACCUGGGAACUGCAUUUAAAACUGGCUAGCUAGAGUCUCGUAGAGGGUGGUAGAAUUCCAGGUGUAGCGGUGAAAUGCGUAGAGAUCUGGAGGAAUACCGGUGGCGAAGGCGACCCCCUGGACGAAGACUGACGCUCAGGUGCGAAAGCGUGGGGAGCAAACAGG